GGUGAACACGUGUCGGCAGGAUAAUCGCGAGGGACACGCUAGAAGGAUGGCACACGACGAUCUCACCAUCUGCUCGUACACCGAUUCGAAUCUGCGGACAGUGAUCAGUUAUUUCCGGUGAGAGCCUGUUUCGACACGCGGAUUAUCGACAAGAUAAAUGAGAAGCAGUGCUCGCGGGAAGGGACGCUUUGAGACCAUUCUCGAACGCAUUACCGGUCGUUAGACGUUCGAAAGUCGCAAUACAGGCGGAAAAGUUUCGAAGGAUCGCCAAGAAAUUAGACGUGCGAACAAUGUGCCCAAUCUGCAUGGUUAAGCAAUAUGUCAAACUGCACUACAGAAUCUUUGAGCAUUAUCUUGGAAACAGAAAGGAGAGUCGAAAAUUCUGGAGCAAGAGACCUUUGGCCAAGGUUCGUCGACGUGACCCGCGAGGGAUGAUUCGGGGAUGAUGCA